UGGAGUUGCACUGACACCAAACUAGAUUCAAUAACUUGCGUUAGAUGCGAAUAAACCAUAAGAUUUUAGGAUAAGUUACAGAUUCUAGGCAUUUGAAGUUGCAAAAUGAUAUGGAGCAAGGUUCAAGAACAUGUCGAUAGAAUAUUGCACGCGAGAGCUAAAAUGUCACAGAUAAUGGGCUCAAUAUAAAGUGGGAAGCCACCGGAUCAUUACCUUCUUAAAAUGACGAUCACCAAA